GUGUUCACUUUGGAACCACAUAUACUAAAACUGGAACGAUACAGAGAAGAUUAGCAUGGAUGCAUCCCUGUGCAAGGAUGACACUCAAAUUCGUGACGCGUUCCAUUGUUGC
rnacentral:snRNA from 1 species